rnacentral:rRNA from 1 species
CCUACGGGGGGCUGCAGUGGGGAAUAUUGGACAAUGGGGGCAACCCUGAUCCAGCCAUGCCGCGUGUGUGAAGAAGGCCCUCGGGUUGUAAAGCACUUUCAGUGAGGAAGAACGCCUGGUGGUUAAUACCCAUCAGGAAAGACAUCACUCACAGAAGAAGCACCGGCUAACUCCGUGCCAGCAGCCGCGGUAAUACGGAGGGUGCGGGCGUUAAUCGGAAUUACUGGGCGUAAAGCGCGCGUAGGUGGCUUGAUAAGCCGGUUGUGAAAGCCCCGGGCUCAACCUGGGAACGGCAUCCGGAACUGUCAAGCUAGAGUGCAGGAGAGGAAGGUAGAAUUCCCGGUGUAGCGGUGAAAUGCGUAGAGAUCGGGAGGAAUACCAGUGGCGAAGGCGGCCUUCUGGACUGAAACUGACACUGAGGUGCGAAAGCGUGGGUAGCAAACAGGAUUAGAUACCCGGGUAGUC